AAUUACGUAAAUUUGACCUUAUAGGUCUAAUUCGGUUCAGAAUAUGUAGUCGACCUCGAAGUUCGGUGAAAUAUGUAUAAUGAUGUAUGCAGUCGGUCUGUAUACACCCUUAGACACGUCGAAACAUAAAUACAUUGCACUCAUUGUCGUGCCAGAAACGUUUUGGCACAACGCGCAAGAUUAUUAAUUUGAUGAACGCUAAAAGUAACCUAACAAAGUAUCGAAGUAUUCGAGAUGUCGGUACUUUUUAUUAAAUGUUAAGUAGGUUUCCUACUUCAUUGGGUUCACCACAAACCGAGAGAAGUGGCGAUUGCUGGUGAGGCGCUUAACAUCUGCCCACGGCAAUGGUACUGACUGAGGACCACGACCGCUCUGACAAGAGUGUAUCACUCUACAAGGAUAUAUAUCAAUCAAAAUCUACAGCCAUGGUAUGCACCUCUGCCAGCGGAGCGGUAAUUGUUCAAUACCUUUUUUGACAUGACAACGUCUUAUAAUUCGAUGGAGCCGGCUGCACGGACGAAAAAACAUGACUCAAUGAGGCGUUCCAUUUAGGCUUGAAGUGCAAGCGAGAGCGCGCAACGAGCGACAAAGAGGCACAAUCGGCCUCCGCGUUCGGCAGCGUUCGACAUCUGUCUCUCUCCUACUUGAGUGAGCGAUGCAUCCGCGUGGACAGCUGCUAUACAAGAAUACAUUUACUUGUUUUCGUCAAGUAUGAAGUUCAGUGAAAAGUGAAUGUGGUGUCAAUUGUCCAUACAAAAUAUCUAUUAAACAAAUAAAAUAAAAAUUUUCUUUUGAAAAAUGAAACCAUUC